rnacentral:rRNA from 1 species
UACAGAGGUGGCAAGCGUUGUUCGGAAUUACUGGGCGUAAAGGGCGCGUAGGCGGUUUGUCGCGUCUGCUGUGAAAACCUAAGGCUCAACCUUGGGCUUGCAGUGGGUACGGGCAGACUAGAGUGCGGUAGGGGGUGACUGGAAUUCCUGGUGUAGCGGUGGAAUGCGCAGAUAUCAGGAGGAACACCGAUGGCGAAGGCAGGUCACUGGGCCGCAACUGACGCUGAGGAGCGAAAGCAUGGGAAGCGAACAGG